UUAUUGGAGAGUUUGAUCCUGGCUCAGGACGAACGCUGGCGGCGUGCCUAAUACAUGCAAGUCGAGCGAAUCUGAGGGAGCUUGCUCCUGACGAUUAGCGGCGG
rnacentral:ncRNA from 1 species